rnacentral:rRNA from 1 species
AUACGUAGGGUGCAAGCAUUAAUCGGAUUUAUUGGGCGUAAAGAGUGCGUAGGCGGGAAUGUAAGUCAGACGUUAAAGCCCGAAGCUCAACUUCGGAACUGCAUCUGAAACUACAUUUCUUGAGGAUGGACGGAGAAAGCGGAAUUCCACGUGUAGCGGUGAAAUGCGUAGAUAUGUGGAAGAACACCUGUGGCGAAAGCGGCUUUCUAGUUUAUACCUGACGCUGAGGCACGAAAGCAUGGGGAGCGAACAGGAUUAGAAACCCCAGUAGUCC